rnacentral:rRNA from 1 species
UACGUAGGGGGCGAGCGUUGUCCGGAAUUAUUGGGCGUAAAGAGCGUGUAGGCGGUCCGGUAAGUCAGCUGUGAAAGUCAAGGGCUCAACCCUUGAAUGCCGGUUGAUACUGUCGGGCUAGAGUCCGGAAGAGGCGAGUGGAAUUCCCGGUGUAGCGGUGAAAUGCGCAGAUAUCGGGAGGAACACCAAUGGCGAAGGCAGCUCGCUGGGACGAUACUGACGCUGAGACGCGAAAGCGUGGGGAGCAAACAGG